rnacentral:rRNA from 1 species
AACGCUGGCGGCGUGCUUAACACAUGCAAGUCGAGCGAACAAAGCUCCUUCGGGAGUGGAGUUAGCGGCGGACGGGUGAGUAACACGUGGGUAACCUGCCUUAUAGAGGGGGAUAGCCUUCCGAAAGAAGAUUAAUACCGCAUAAGAAGUAGAAGUCGCAUGGCUUUAGCUUUAAAGGAGCAAUCCGCUAUAAGAUGGACCCGCGGCGCAUUAGCUAGUUGGUGAGGUAACGGGCUCACCAAGGCGACGAUGCGUAGCCGACCUGAGAGGGUGAUCGGCCACAUUGGAACUGAGACACGGUCCAGACUCCUACGGGAGGCAGCAGUGGGGAAUAUUGCACAAUGGGCGAAAGCCUGAUGCAGCAACGCCGCGUGGGUGAUGAAGGUUUUCGGAUCGUAAAGCCCUGUCUUUUGGGACGAUAAUGACGGUACCAAAGGAGGAAGCCACGGCUAACUACGUG